rnacentral:rRNA from 1 species
GAUGAACGCUAGCUACAGGCUUAACACAUGCAAGUUGAGGGGCAGCAUGGUCUUAGCUUGCUAAGACUGAUGGCGACCGGCGCACGGGUGAGUAACACGUAUCCAACCUGCCGUCUACUCUUGGACAGCCUUCUGAAAGGAAGAUUAAUACAAGAUGGCAUCAUGAGUCCGCAUGUUCACAUGAUUAAAGGUAUUCCGGUAGACGAUGGGGAUGCGUUCCAUUAGGUAGUAGGCGGGGUAACGACCCACCUAGCCUACGAUGGAUAGGGGUUCUGAGAGGAAGGUCCCCCACAUUGGAACUGAGACACGGUCCAAACUCCUACGGGAGCAGCAGUGAGGAAUAUUGGUCAAUGGGCGAGAGCCUGAACCAGCCAAGUAGCGUGAAGGAUGACUGCCCUAUGGGUUGUAAACUUCUUUUAUAAAGGAAUAAAGUCGGGUAUGCAUACCCGUUUGCAUGUACUUUAUGAAUAAGGAUCGGCUAACUCCGUG